rnacentral:tRNA from 1 species
GGUUUCAUGGUGUAGUUGGUUAUCACAUCUGCUUAACACGCAGGCGGUCAGCGGUUCGAUCCCGCUUGAAAUCA